rnacentral:rRNA from 1 species
ACGCGUGNGAACUCNGCCUUGGUGCGGGGAUACACUGGGAACGGGUGGCUAUACCGCAUAANNGCCUCCGGGGGAAAGACUUAUCNCNANGGGACGGGCCCGCGUUGGAUUAGGUAGUUGGUGGGGUAAUGGGCUACCAAGCCGACGAUCCAUAGCUGGUCUGAGAGGAUGAUCAGNCACACUGGGACUGAGACACGGNCCAGACUCCUACGGGAGCAGCAGUGGGGAUAUUGGACAUGGGGGGCACCCUGAUCCAGNCAUGCCGCGUGAGUGAAGAAGGCCUUAGGGUUGUAAAGCUCUUUCAACGGUGAAGAUGAUGACGGUAGCCGUAGAAGAAGCCCCGGCUAACUCCGUGCCAGCAGCCGCGGUAAUACGGAGGGGGCAAGCGUUGUUCGGAAUUACUGGGCGUAAAGGGCGUGUAGGCGGCGCAUUGCGUCAGGUGUGAAAGCCCCGGGCUCAACCUGGGAGGUGCACUUGAUACGGAUGUGCUUGAGACCGGGAGAGGUGAGCGGAAUUCCCAGUGUAGAGGUGAAAUUCGUAGAUCUUGGGAAGAACACCAGUGGCGAAGGCGGCUCACUGGCCCGGUUCUGACGCUGAGGCGCGAAAGCGUGGGGGAGCAACAGGAUUAGAUACCCUGGUAGUCCACGCCGUAAACGAUGUGCGCUAGCCGUCGGGCAGUAUACUGUUCG